rnacentral:rRNA from 1 species
GGAUCCAGACUUUGAUCCUGGCUCAUGAUGAACGCUAGCUACAGGCUUAACACAUGCAAGUCGAGGGGCAUCAGUUUGGUUUGCUUGCAAACCAAAGCUGGCGACCGGCGCACGGGUGAGUAACACGUAUCCAACCUGCCUCAUACUCGGGGAUAGCCUUUCGAAAGAAAGAUUAAUAUCCGAUAGCAUAUAUUUCCCGCAUGGGUUUUAUAUUAAAGAAAUUCGGUAUGAGAUGGGGAUGCGUUCCAUUAGUUUGUUGGGGGGGUAACGGCCCACCAAGACUACGAUGGAUAGGGGUUCUGAGAGGAAGGUCCCCCACAUUGGAACUGAGACACGGUCCAAACUCCUACGGGAGGCAGCAGUGAGGAAUAUUGGUCAAUGGACGCGAGUCUGAACCAGCCAAGUAGCGUGAAGGAUGACUGCCCUAUGGGUUGUAAACUUCUUUUAUAUGGGAAUAAAGUUGUCCACGUGUGGAUUUUUGUAUGUACCAUAUGAAUAAGGAUCGGCUAACUCCGUGCCAGCAGCCGCGGUAAUACGGAGGAUCCGAGCGUUAUCCGGAUUUAUUGGGUUUAAAGGGAGCGUAGGCGGAUUGUUAAGUCAGUUGUGAAAGUUUGCGGCUCAACCGUAAAAUUGCAGUUGAUACUGGCAGUCUUGAGUGCAGUAGAGGUGGGCGGAAUUCGUGGUGUAGCGGUGAAAUGCUUAGAUAUCACGAAGAACUCCGAUUGCGAAGGCAGCUCACUGGAGUGUAACUGACGCUGAUGCUCGAAAGUGUGGGUAUCAAACAGGAUUAGAUACCCUGGUAGUCCACACAGUAAACGAUGAAUACUCGCUGUUUGCGAUAUACAGUAAGCGGCCAAGCGAAAGCAUUAAGUAUUCCACCUGGGGAGUACGCCGGCAACGGUGCAACUCAAAUGAAUUGACGG